UCCGCGAAUCUCCCCCUUGGCCUCUCCCCAUUCUUCAGCGUCCCAAGGACCUUGCUGUACGCCUGUACCAGAUCUUGAGCUGCGGCGGCGGAGAAGAGAAGACAGCUUCUGUGCCCGGUGCGGCGGUGCCCUA